rnacentral:tRNA from 1 species
CUCUGGUUAGCUAAUGAAGUAUUAAACUCUUAAUUUAAUGAUGGUAGGUAGUCUACCACUAGAGA